rnacentral:tRNA from 1 species
GCCACCCUAGCUCAGGGGUAGAGCACUUCCAUGGUAAGGAAGGGGUCGCGGGUUCAAUUCCCGCGGGUGGCUCCA